rfam:Picea glauca, whole genome shotgun sequence.
AUGUACAUUCCUACAACAUAGUGUUAAUGUAUUGGAUCCCAUUAGAACUUUGUAGUUAAGUGCACUUGGGAUAUAUUAGUACUAGGAUGGGUGAGGGCUCGAUAAUUCCCAUUGUUUUACAUG